CCUACGGGAGGCAGCAGUGAGGAAUAUUGGUCAAUGGCCGAGAGUCUGAACCAGCCAAGUCGCGUGAAGGAUGACUGCCCUAUGGGUUGUAAACCUCUUUUAUAUGGGAAUAAAACAUGGUAUGCAUACCCUCUUGUAUGUACCAUAUGAAUAAGCAUCGGCUAACUCCGUGCCAGCAGCCGCGGUAAUACCGAGGAUCCGAGCGUUAUCCGGAUUUAUUGGGUUUAAAGGGUGCGUAGGUGGUUUGUUAAGUUAGUUGUUAAAGUUUGCGGCUUAACCGUAAAAUUGCAGUUAAUACUGGAAGUCUAGAGUACAGUAGAGGUAGGCGGAAUUCGUGGAGUAGCGGUGAAAUGCUUAGAUAUCACGAAGAACUCCGAUAGCGAAGGCAGCUCACUAGACUGCGACUGACACUGAUGCUCGAGAGUGUGGGUAGCGAACAGGAUUAGAUACCCGAGUAGUC
rnacentral:rRNA from 1 species